AGAGUUUGAUCAUGGCUCAGGAUGAACGCUAGCUACAGGCUUAACACAUGCAAGUCGAGGGGCAGCGGGCAGAAAGCUUGCUUUCUGUGCCGGCGACCGGCGCACGGGUGCGUAACGCGUAUCGAACCUACCACAUACUCAGGGAUAGCCUUGCGAAAGUAAGAUUAAUACCUGAUGUUGUUUAAUGUCCGCAUGGACACUAAACCAAGGAUUUAUUGGUAUGUGAUGGCGAUGCGUCUGAUUAGGUAGUAGGCGGGGUAACGGCCCACCUAGCCAUCGAUCAGUAGGGGUUCUGAGAGGAAGGUCCCCCACAUUGGAACUGAGACACGGUCCAAACUCCUACGGGAGGCAGCAGUGAGGAAUAUUGGUCAAUGGACGGAAGUCUGAACCAGCCAAGUAGCGUGCAGGAUGACGGCCCUCCGGGUUGUAAACUGCUUUUAGUUGGGAAUAACGACGGGGACGUGUCC
rnacentral:rRNA from 1 species